UCUUUUUUUAUUUUAAUCUUUUCAGACAAAAGGUAAAGGUGAUUUUCAUUUGAGAAUGCAUCAACAGAUCCUAAAUAAUGGACUGGAAUAUCGAUUUAGAGAAUUAGCCUCCUUAUGAGGCUACCCAGUUGGAGUGGAAAUGCUAAAUCAUGGCUUGAAGCAGUGAUUGAGCACCUGGUGGGAAGGCAGGGCCAAGGGAGCUCAGGUGCAUUGAGUGCUCUGAUUGAUCAGAAGGGCUGGAGCCAGGACCCAUGCCUUCCCAGCCCUCAUUUAAGGGUUGGCAGUGGAGGUGAUGGUCUCUCACUGGAGAUCUCUACAUACCUGAGGCCUUGCAAAGCACCAGUUGUAAUAAGCCAGUUUCUCCAAAAACCAUACAAACCAUCAGUGAAACUUGCCUGCUUGCUGUGCUUGAAUUAGAGAUCCGGAAACGCACCUGCUCAAUGGCACUUCUUACAAGUGGGUCACUAGGACUCACUGAAGGAUGAACAACAAACUCUACCUGUUCAAAGAAGAAAACAAGGGAGGCCACAAGGGGCCAGAUCAGCUUAUCCAGAAAGCACCGUCUGAAGAAAGAAGAGUCACAGAGAUGCUCAAGUUCUGCCAGAAACCUGAGGGGACCUCUCUGGCCCCAGAGCAGAUUUAGUAUUGCUCCAGGAACACGCAAAGAGAAUGAUCCUUAAGAAAAAUGCAGGGCUCUUUGCAAAUCUCAAAAUCACAACCUACCUUUAGCUGGUGGCGACUGAUGAACAGCAUCUUGGGAGCUUGAUUUCAACAGAGAAGCUGAAUUGGCCUUCUG